AGUAACAGGCACGUUCAUAAUAACAAGUAAUAGUUGCGUAUUUGUAUGCAUUCUAAAUAGUAAAUAAUAGCAAACGUUGGAGGUAUAUUCCGCCUAUAAAGCGCUCUAAAAAACAUCCAUAAGCCCUCCAUCAACGUUUUAUAUAAAUGCUCUAAGAAUAUAUUUCAUGUAGUAACAGGCACGUUCAUAACAACACGUAAUAGUUACGUAUUUGUAUGCAUUCUAAAUAGUAAAUAAUAGCAAACGGAGGUCUAUUCCGCCUAUAAAGCGCUCUAAAAACAUCCAUAAGACCUCCAUCAACGUUUUAAAUAAAUGCUGUAAGCAUAUAUAUAUUAUGUAGUAACAGGCACGUUCAUAAUAACACGUAAUAGUUACAUAUUUGUAUGCAUUUUAAAUAGUAAAUAGUAGCAAACGGAGGUCUAUUCCGCCUAUAAAGCGCUCUAAAAAACAUCCAUAAGACCUCCAUCAACGUUUUAUAUAAAUGCUGUAAGUAUAUAUAGUAUGUUAUAACGGGCACGUUCGUAAUAACACGUAAUAGUUACAUAUUUGUAUGCAUUCUAAAUAGUAAAUAGCAAACGGAGGUCUAUUCCGCCUAUGAAGCGCUCUAAAAAACAUCCAUAAGACCUCCAUCAACAUUUUAUAUAAAUGCUGGAAGCAUAUAUAUUAUGUAGUAACAGGCACGUUCAUAAUAAGACGUAAUAGUUACGUAUUUGUAUGCAUUCUAAAUAGUAAAUAAUAGCAAACGUUGGAGGUCUAUUCCGCCUAUAAAGCGCUCUAAAAAACAUCCAUAAGACCUCCAUCAACGUUUUAUAUAAAUGAUGUAAGCAUAUAUAUUAUGUAGUAACAGGCACGUUCAUAGUAACAUGUAAUAGUUACGUAUUUGUAUGCAUUCUAAAUAGUAAAUAAUAGCCAACGUUGGAGGUAUAUUCCGCCUAUAAAGCGCUCUAAAAAACAUCCAUAAAACCUCCAUCAACGUUUUAUAUAAAUGCUGUAAGUAUAUGUAUUAUGUAGUAACAGGCACGUUCAUGACAUGUAAUAGUUACGUAUUUGUAUGCAUUCUAAAUAGUAAAUAGCAAACGGAGGUCUAAUCCACCUUUAAAGCGCUCUAAAAAACAUCCAUAAGACCUCCAUCAACGUUUUAUAUAAAUGAUGUAAGCAUAUAUAUUAUGUAGUAACAGGCACGUUCAUAAUAACACGUAAUAGUUACGUAUUUGUUCAUUUUAAACAUACGACGGCGUAUUAAUUUCACAGACGCAACACAACGUUUGCUAAUGAUCUUAACAACAUGAACACGACUAAUCAUUGCAGACUUCAAAGACUACUUUGGGACUAAUGAUGAUCCAGAACCUUAAAUUGUUUAGCUUUAAUAUAAGGAGGAUGAGCUGCAAGUUUUAGAAGCUGAGUGCUAAUUAGAUCCAGCUUUAGUAAAACACAAAGCAUCAUGCGGCAGUAUUUCUAAAUACUAGAACAUAAUAAAGCAAUCACUUACAGAAUAAUGUCUGCUCUCACUAGGAUGCUGACUGAUAGGGAUGUUUAAAUUAUCCUGUGUAGAUGAAUAAUUAAUCAUCUUUCUCGCGAUCUCUGGUUCUAAGUUAAAUGUCAGAGUUGACAAACGUCUUGGUUUAUGACCACAAGCUUCUACUAGACAAGUGACAGACAUGAUUUAUAAUCUGGAAAUAACUUUCACCAAACUCAGGCGGUGCAGCAGCUCAGUAUGUACAGUACAGGCCAAAGGUUUGGACACACCUUCUCAUUCAAUGCGUUUUCUGUAUUUUCAUGACUAUUUACAUUGUAGAUUGUCAUUGAAGGCAUCAAAACUAUGAAUGAACACAUGUGGAGUUAUGUACUUAACGAAAAAAAAGUUAAAUAACUGAAAACAUGUUUUGUAUUCUAGUUUCUUCAAAAUAGCCACCGUUUGCUCUGAUUACUGCUUUGCACACGCUUGGCAUUCUCUCGAUGAGCUUCAAUGAUUUUCCAACAGUCUUGAACCUCAUCGAGAGAUUGCCAAGAGUUAUUUACAUAUACAGCACACAUACUGCUAUACACACGCCUAACCAGGCAUUUUUUUCUCUCAAGGAAUUCAGAAAUAAAAUCAUGUCUUUAGGAGAUCAACACUGUACUGAAGCCCAGAACACUCGACGCAUUUCCCCAGUUUUAGUUUAGAGAUAAGGAAAGAUUGGCCUGGCCCACUACCAUCCCUCUUUAUGUUUGUGAACUUUAUAGUAUAUACAUUUAGAGUGAUGUGAUAAUCAAACACUCUAGAAGUCUACAAUGAAAGAGUAUAUAGGAGAAUUGACAGUGUGUACCUUCAGUUCUGUAUGAUAAGCAGAGGCAUAGUUUGGAGUGUUUUCUUUAGCUCGCUUUCCAUUUUUAUGUACUCACUGUCCACUGUGUCCAGGUACUUGGAAAAUGUUUUCCGUGCCAUUUGCUGUUUGACGCCGCAAUCUUGCUAAUUAGCUGCCUGAAAUCGGGUAACUCUACUGUAGAAAUAGCCUGCAUGUCUUCUAGCACAUACGCGGCAAUGGCUCUAUCAAUGUUGUCCUGUCUAGCAGUGCUUUCGUUAAAAUCCUUAGGUGAAAGUGAAGUGGCAUCAGGGUCCGUGUCUCUCUUUACUAGCUUUGUCAAAGCAUGUUGCUUUUGUAGCUGUUUCAGCAGAUUUGAAUUGCUGUUUUGGGCAGUAGAUAAGAUCUUUGAUCCAAGACACAACUUACAUUUAACUAAAAUGUUCUUUUCCUUGUGCUCGACAAAAGAAAAGUAGUGAGAAUAUCUCCAUGUUAAGAAACUCGACUCCGGCUCCGCCAUAAUGUCUUGUUAGUAAACACACACUACGCCCCCCCACACACACAACGCGCCUCUCUCUUCUCCAGGUAUGAGACAGGAAGAAUCAGAAUGACGGCACUGCAGCUCUCCAAUAAAACCCACUCAGAUCUUCUGUUUCUAGCCGAUACAUACUACUAAAAAAUAACGUAAAAUAACGCAGUAACACAUCAUGUAGUAACGGUAACUGAGUUACUGAAUAUAAAAAAUAACGCGUUAGACUACUAGUUACCGCCAAAAAUAACUUUGUAACGCGUUAGUCCCAACACUGGUUAGCUCUCUACUAAAAAUAUUUUUUCUGCGUUGGCGCUUAUAGAAAACAAUAUACUGGGUAAUAUUCAGGUCACGACAUGUUAAUGGAGAAUUGUUGGCAGUUUUUGGAUGUUUUUUAGAAAGCUUUAUGGGCGCAAUAGAGUACUUCCAUUAGCUGCUUUGUGACACAUUGUACUUGUCGUAUUUUAUGAAUUAGAAUGCAUAAAAAAAUUUAGUUUUUUGUCUUGCAUAAGGAUUGUGAAUGAUAGGCAACAUAAAAAAAAAAGUGCAGUUCCCCUUCAAACCACACUUUACUAGCCAUGAACACUAUCACUCCCUUUUACUUUUUAAAGUACAAAACAAUCUUCGAGCUUCUACAAAAUCACCAUAAGGCUCCAAAGCAUCAGCAACCUUUCCAUCAGACCAUUACGCUGCUUAGUUAUUACUGUCGCUUUCUCAAGGACACGUCUUUAUCCUUAAUGAUGGUCACGGUAGUGAACAAGGCAUGAACAAGUUUUUUGCCGCAUGGGAGACACACACCCAAGACCGGCCCGUGGCAUAAACCCUGUGUGGUGGUUCAGCGGCACAACCACUAGAAGGGGCACACCAUCAUGGCCUGGAUUUUGUAAAGACUGUUUACAUUCACGGAAUGCAACAUGGGCUCAUGCCUUCUGGUUGCAGUGCUUCACCGUUCACUCGACACAGACGUCAUAAUGCCAUCAAAGCUCACAUUUAUGCGCCAACAUUUAGAAACCAGGAUGAGGUGAUAGAAGAAAGAUAACAAUAUAAUACAUCUAUUUGUGGCUGCAUUGGAUAUAAGUUUCACUUUUGCAUCUCACAACACAUAAUGGUGUUGCAUUCAAGAACCCUGGUUUAAAGUUCAAAACAGACAUCACUCAGUUUUAAAGACAGGGGAAGAUUAACCCCCGGUAGACUGUAGAUGCACUAAUAAUAAUCAUAAUAAUGAUGUACUAUUAGGGUUAUUAUCCACUGAUAAUGAUCCUACAUGAAUCACACUAUGAAGUAAAGGGUUACUUGACAGAUUUAUAAUCAUAUUUAAGUGAACACUGAUAGGUCAUAUUAAAACUCACAUACAGGUUACUGUAUAUUAAAAGUCAAACACCUAAUUAAUGCUUUUACAUGUGUUUUAAAAGGUAGUUUCGAGCAACCUAAGUCAAUAAAUAGUUUGUUGUGCGUGUCAACAUACUGAGAUUUUGGGAGUCUUACAAUUCGUUGAUCCUCAAACUGUGGUACGCCAAAGAAUCAAUUAAGUGAUCCUAUUUUCAAACAGUGUUACUGUUCAAACUGUGGGUAAUGUUACAGUGGCCAAACAUAUAAAAUGUACUGUGGAAGUCUCCUGUGUGGUGGGUUCUCCUGGGACCGACAUAAUCUCCGUGAGCCCGAAGUACAGGAUUGACCAAGUCUUUAUUUUUAUGUUUUAUAUAUGUUCAGGGCUGUCUCGCCAGCAGCCUCCUUCUCGCUCGUGUGGGUUUUUUCGUCUGCUCUCAUCAGCAUACUUGCCAACCCUCCCAAGAUUUUUACGGGAGACUCCCGAAUUUCAGUACCCCUCCCGAAAAUCUCCCGGGGCAACCAUUCUCCUGAAUUUCUCCCGAUUUUCACCCGGUCAACAAUAUUGAGGGCGUGCCGUGAUGGCACUGCCUUUAGGCAUCCUCUACAACCUGUCGUCAGCGUGCCGGCCCAGUCACAUGUUGUAUGCGGCUUCUACAGACACAAGUGACUGCAAGACAUACAGGUCACACUGAGGGUGGCCGUAUAAACAACUUUAACACUGUUACAAAUAUGCGCCACACCGUGAACCCACACCAAACAAGAAUGACAAACACAUUUCAGGAGAACAUCCGCACCGUAACACAACAUAAACAGAACAAAUACCCAGAAUCCCUUGCAGCCCUAACUCUUCCGGGCCACGUUUUAUACACCCCCGCUACCACCAAACCCCAACCCCCCCAUCUCCCGAAUUCGGAGGUCUCUCUGAUAAAGGAGACAGGUAUAACCAGCCUCGAAGCCGGGCCAUACACACUCCCUUCCCGCAGGAGGCGCGCUGACCACGCCCCCCUCCACAUGUACUUUUUAAAUAAAACCUUUGCCUUGCUUUUAAGGAACAUUACGCCACUUUAUUUUAAUAUUGGUCAUUAUGGUGGUACUUGGGGAGCAAGUGUUUCCUGAGGUGGUACUUGGUGAAAAAAACGUAAUAUUAAAGACUGAAAUCUGGCUUUGAAAAAAGCUGCACAUCUGCAUUCAUCCGCCACAUGCACUUGAGUAGUUCUCGAGCAAGUCUCGUAUUUACGGACCACAAUUAGGUUUUCAUUCAUAUACAAGAGCGUAGUUAUAACUUGGCGAUGUCGUAACACGGAAUGACAAAACGAGGAUCACCUGUAUUGCCUGGUUUGAAAGUAGGUCGUAUACGUGUUUGUGUGAAAAUCACGUUUUCAUGUAAAGUACAAAUCCAUGUUGACUGGAUCAAAGUAUGUGACAAAGCAUAUUGGUGUAGUAUGGUGGACUUUUGGACAGAACGACCAGAUAGAACAACGUCCCUUUUUCCACUGUUGACAUUGCAGCCAUCUGGGUCUUCAAAGAUGGACAGUCUUGGUCUCAGUGGGCCUGCUCUCUCACUUUCGUGCCUAAAUGGAAUUUUGAUAUUCUCGUAUUUUAUCUUGUUUUUUGCUUCAUGGAUGUAUCGACGAUUACGUUACCGCCGUGCGCCUAACGAUCCACGAUAAUGUUGUUAGACGGAAGACAUCAGCAGAGAAAAGCACCUUCAGCCGUUUCACAUCUGCAUUUGAACCUUUUUCCAUGUGGAUCCCAAAAAGAGGACAAUGAAAUGUUCUUUUUGAUGUGAUGUUUGUUUGGAAGGUGUUUCUUACACUUGCCAUGAUAUUGUGAUAUUUACAAUAUUUGUCAUGAUCAUCUCAUGGACCUCAUUGCCUGUCAAAAUUGAUUUCCUCCGAAGUCUGUAACCGAAAUAAAAAUUACAGUGGGACCCGUUUAUGUUGACGCUCCGCAGACCGGUUGUCGUCGUUGACAUCAGCGGUUGUCGAUCUAACUGAAAGCAGCCAUUGCUUGCACAUUUACUUGGCGAUUUUUGAUAGAGGUUUCAGGAAAAUGGGUGAUAAUAAAAGAUUUUUUAAUCUGACA